CUGAACGCGGGAGGCUCUGACGCGUGGCCGUGCCCACGGCCGCUCGGACUGUGCGGAGCCACUGGCAAGACCGACCCGCGCGGUG
rnacentral:ncRNA from 1 species